UACGAAGGGGGCUAGCGUUGUUCGGAAUCACUGGGCGUAAAGGGCGCGUAGGCGGCUUUGCAAGUCAGAUGUGAAAGCCCCGGGCUUAACUCGGGAACUGCAUCUGAAACUGCUUAGCUUGAGUCCUGGAGGGGGUAGUGGAAUUCCCAGUGUAGCGGUGAAAUGCGUAGAUAUUGGGAGGAACACCUGCGGCGAAGGCGGCUACCUGGACAGUGACUGACGCUGAGGCGCGAAAGCUAGGGGAGCGAACGGG
rnacentral:rRNA from 1 species